CCCUUCGAUGUUCUGGGCCGCACGCGUGCUACACUGAGUGGAUCAGCGGGUCAGGUUGCGCGAAAGUGUUUCCUAAUCUUGAAAUCCGCUCGUGAUGGGGAUUGACGGUUGCAAUUUUCUGUCAUGAACGAGGAAUACCUUGUAAGCGCGGGUCAUCAUCCCGCGCUGAAUACGUCCCUGCCCUUUGUACACACCGCCCGUCGCUCCUACCGAUUGAGUGGUCCGGUGAGGCUUUGGGAUCUGGAUGGAAAGAGCGUUUCGCUGUUUCUGCCCGGAAAACUCAGUCGAACCUUAUCAUUUAGAGGAAGGAGAAGUCGUAACA
rnacentral:rRNA from 1 species